UUUGGGACUGAUCUUGACACUC
rnacentral:miRNA from 1 species